GCCCCUGUAGGGGUCAGGGCUACAGCAGACCCUGAAAGCUGAGAAACACCCCACACACUCACACCAAGUGAGGAGAGGCUGCCAAGGAAAGGGAGGGACGGAACAAGGAGAGAGAAGAAAGGAGGGGCUGCCUGGCCGGGCUGCUGUCCCCCCUACAGAGCCAGCUCAGAUUCAGUUCCAGGAGCAGCUUGGCUGCGGAAGCAACAGCAGUCCCUCUCCACCAGGGAAGGGCAGCGGGCGGACCGGCACACAGACGGAGGGCCUGGGACUGGAAGUCCUCAGCCCCCAGCCUCUCGGCCAGGCCUGGCCCCAUGGCCUUCAAUGACCUCCUGCUGCAGGUGGGGGGCGCCGGCCGCUUCCAGCAGAUCCAGGUCACUCUGGUGGUCCUCCCCCUGCUCCUGAUGGCCUCCCACAACACUCUGCAGAACUUCACCGCCGCUGUCCCCACCCACCACUGCCGCCCGCCUGCCGACACCAACCUCAGCAAGGACGGGGAGCUGGACGCCUGGCUGCCCCGGGACGGGCAGGGGCGGCCCGAGUCCUGCCUCCGCUUCACCUCCCCCCAGCGGGGGCUGCCCUUUCCCAACGGCACAGAGACCAAUGGCACGGGGGCCACAGAGCCCUGCACCCACGGCUGGAUCUAUGACAAUAGCACCUUCCCUUCCACCAUCGUGAUGGAGUGGGACCUCGUGUGUUCUCGUAGGGCCUUACGCCAGCUGGCUCAGUCCUUGUACAUGGUAGGGGUGCUUCUCGGAGCCAUGAUAUUCGGGCACCUGGCAGACAGGCUGGGCCGCCGGAAGGUGCUCAUCUUGAACUACCUGCAGACGGCUGUGUCAGGAACCUGCGCCGCCUUUGCUCCCAACUUCCCCGUCUACUGCGCCUUCCGGCUCCUCUCGGGCAUGUCGCUGGCUGGCAUUUCCCUCAACUGCAUGACACUGAAUGUGGAGUGGAUGCCCAUCCACACGCGGGCCUGCGUGGGCACCCUGAUUGGCUAUGUCUACAGCCUGGGCCAGUUUCUCCUGGCUGGUGUGGCCUAUGCUGUGCCCCACUGGCGCUACCUGCAGCUGCUGGUCUCCGUGCCCUUUUUUGCCUUCUUCAUCUACUCCUGGUUCUUCAUCGAGUCGGCCCGCUGGUACUCCUCCUCUGGGAGGCUGGACCUCACCCUGAAGGCCCUGCAAAGAGUGGCCUGGAUCAAUGGGAAGCGGGAAGAGGGGGCCAAUCUAAGUAUGGAGGUGCUCCGGGCCAGUCUGCAGAAGGAGCUGACCCUGGGCAAGGGCCAGGCCUCGGCCGUGGAGCUGCUGCGCUGUCCUGCCCUUCGCCGCCUCUUCCUCUGCCUCUCCAUGCUGUGGUUUGCCACUAGCUUUGCCUACUAUGGGCUGGUCAUGGACCUGCAGGGUUUUGGGGUCAGCAUCUACCUAAUCCAGAUGAUCUUUGGUGCUGUGGACCUGCCUGCCAAGCUCGUGGGCUUCCUUGUCAUCAACUCUAUGGGCCGCCGGCCUGCCCAGAUGGCCUCACUGCUGCUGGCAGGCGUCUGCAUCCUGAUCAAUGGGGUGGUACCCCAGGAUCAGUCCAUUGUCCGAACCUCCCUUGCUGUGCUGGGGAAGGGCUGCCUGGCUGCCUCCUUCAACUGCAUCUUCCUGUACACUGGGGAGCUGUACCCCACAGUGAUCCGGAUCCUCCCUCUCUGUGAAAGCUCCUGGGAACUUCUGGCAGCAAAGGAGGAGAAAAAAGAGAGCAGCUGUGACGUCAGGAUGCUGAUCCCUGCUCCUCUGGAUUCCAGCAGGGUCUGGACUCAAAACCAGUUUGCCACUUCCAGCUGUGCACCUGGAGAUUCAGCCUGCUAGCUGUCCUAACCCUCCGCACUGCACUUCCCGGCCUUUCUUUGCUGCUCUGCCUCCAGCGGGCCCUGGCGACCCAGCCGCCCAGACCGUCGUCCCCUGGAGAAAGUUCACACUCUCAAGCUGUACACAUUGCCUUCCAGGUGGGACCCGAGGGCUCGAGCUGAGUCAGGGCAACCUGGAGAGGGAAAGUGGCCUGGAGCUCCCCUGAAAAAGCCACAAAGCCCUGGGAGAGCUCAAGGCAGCUCAGAAAGCCAGAGGACAGACUGGGCAGAGCUGAAAUCACCGUAACCCACCCCACAUCCUGGAACAUCUGAAACCUCGGUGUUCCCCGAUGGUGCUGACAUUCCCAUGCUCCCCAAGAAUUUCUUGGCCAUUGUAGGACCCAGCAGAUGCCAGAGCCCCAACAGCCCCACCCCUGCUGCUGUUUCUCAGGCAGUGUUGCCCUCGUGGCUGAUGAGGGGCACCUAGGAUGGCAUCUUCUGCUUCUGCAGAUGUAGGGGUUUGGGGACCAGUGACUUGCCCUACCCCUGCCUCACAACCCUGCUAGCAGCUCUGACAUGUUCUGAUUCCUGUAGGUCUGUCAUCUCUGUGCUUAGAUCACCUGGUACCUGCAUCUGUCUCAACCAGAGCCAGUCCCUGGCCUGUCCCAGCUGCAUACACCCCCAACUGGUCAAGACCUGGUGCUGACUCAGGUGGCUUUGCACCAUCUGCACGGACUCCGUUUCCCCAGCUCCUGGCCUGAGACUUCCUGCACUCACCCCAUGCCCUUGACCAAAUGGAAUUCUACCUUCCUCCCACUCUUAAGUCACCAGUAAGUGACUUCUGACCGCGUCUCCCCAAGGAGUCAGCCCCCAAACACUGGCUCACAUCUCAUCCUCUUGCCUUGGAGGGCCAAGUUCUAAUACAGUCAUGCACCACCCCAGUGGCCACAGAUGCUGUCCCCAGUUUUGAACACAAGGUCCUAUCUUCAGCCAGGGUAGGUAGAGCCUUUGAGGCCACCCUCAAUUUCUCUGCCUACAGCCUUGAGCACUUCCUGGACAGGAAGGCACAUUCAAGAGGUUCUUCACCUGCAUGACGCUGGUAGAGGGCUCACGGGAAGCCACCUUCCCAGGGCCCCACCCUUGCAUCCCAGGUCCCACCUCAACAACUCAAGCUUCAGUCCACACCCACACCAAGCUCCUCCAUCAGGCUCUUCUCCCCACUUCCCAGGAGUUACAUGGCCCCUUGGAGAGCAGAUGCCCAGCCAGUUAAGCUUUCAUUUCGUGUGGUAGGCUGAAUAAUGCCCCCCAAAGAUGUCCACAUGCUGAUCCUGGAACCUGUGAAUAUGUUACCUUACAUGGUAAAAGGGACUUUGCAGAUGUGAAUAAGUUAAGGAUCUUGAGAUGGAGAGAUUAUCUUGGAUUACCUGGGUGGGCCUGGUGUGAUCACA